UACGUAGGGGGCAAGCGUUAUCCGGAUUUAAUGGGUGUAAAGGGAGCGUAGGUGGUGCGUCAAGUCAGAUGUGAAAGCCCGGGGCUCAACCCCGGGACUGCAUUUGAAACUGUCGUGCUAGAGUGCAGGAGAGGUAAGUGGAAUUCCUAGUGUAGCGGUGAAAUGCGUAGAUAUUAGGAGGAACACCAGUGGCGAAGGCGGCUUACUGGACUGUAACUGACACUGAGGCUCGAAAGCGUGGGGAGCAAACAGG
rnacentral:rRNA from 1 species